AUGGCGGAGUUUGCCCUUGGGCUAACCAAGACGGCGGUGGAGGGGGCAGUCAGCAGAGUCAAGUCGGCAAUCGAGGAGGAGGCGAAGCUCAAGGUGCGCGUCCAGAAUGACCUGGUGUUCAUCACCGGUGAAUUCCAGAUGAUGCGGUCCUUCCUUAACGCCGCCAACUCGGAGCGCAACAAGAAUGAAGUCGUGAGGACAUGGGUGAGGCAGGUCCGCGACCUUGCCUUCGACGUGGAGGACUGUGUUGAGCUCGUGGUCAGCCUCGAUAACAAGUCCACCUGGUGGUGGCGCCUUGUGCCGUCCUGCAUCUGGACGGCUCCGCCGUUGCCAUUGGAUGUGGCAGUCACCGAAAUACAACAACUCAAGACCAGGGUGGAGGAUGUAAGCCAGAGGAACACCCGCUACAACCUCAUCAACCACUCCGACUCCAGCUCCAAUUCUGCAGCUACUAUUGUCUCCUCUCCAACGGAGGCGCUUAUGCCAGACAGUGCCUACCUCGGUGUAUCAUCAGCGUUCCACAUCCUAUGUGAUGUGUGGGAGGCCGCUGGGAAGAAGCGAGGUGGCACCGGUGAGCUCAAGGAGAUUAUCAACCGUGAAGGUAGCGAUCUUCAAGUCAUUUCACUAUGGGGAAGUACACCAUCUGCUCACUUGGGGGCAACUCACGUUAUCAAGGAGGCGUACAAUGACCCACAAAUCCAGCAAGAGUUCAAUGUCCGUGCGUGGGCAAAGAUCAAGUGUCCUUUUGACCCCGAAGAUUUCCUCAAGAGCCUGCUCACUCAGUUCUACGCCACCUCCUCCCACCAACCAAACCACAACAUCAACAAGUCAACAACACCACAAGAGCUCGAAUGGUGUGCAGAGAUGGUGGCACAAGCACGGAGCGACAAUCGGAGCUGGAUCGCACGGGCUACCAACCUAGUCCGCUCUAUGGCAUCCUCCACUUCUGACAUCAAAGCCAAGUUUACAGAUCGUAGGUAUCUCGUCAUCCUGGAAGAUGUACGCACUGUAGCAGAGUGGGAUGUCAUCAAGAUGUAUCUACCAUACACUAACAAGGGCAGCCGGAUUCUCGUGUUGACGGAACACCUGGGGCUUGCGCUUUCCUGCACAAGGAAGCCGUACCAAGUAUCAGAGCUUAGACAAUUCUCUCAUGGUCAAUCACUUUGUGCUUUUUUCAAUAAGGUUCCUGGGCGUCGUGGUGAUAUGAGUGAAAUUAGUUGGCAGUUAAGAUGUGGUGGUGUUAUCUGUGUGUGGGGAACUCGACAUAAAAAAUCAACUCUUGUUGAUGACGUGUACUCCAGCAUAACAAAUAAGUCGAAAGGCUUUGAUGUUGAUGGAGUAGAAUUUAAAAUACAAAGCUGGGUCGAUGUACCCAAACCGUUCAAUUUGGAGUGCUUCUCCAGACGCCUUCUUUUGAGUUUCUACUCUGAUGACUUUGGAGCCAAGGAAAUUUCGGUAGUGGAUAGGAUGGGAGACCAAGGUGUAACUCAACAGUGUCGCAGGUUUCUGCAUGAAGACAAAUGUCUUACCAUUAUUAAUGGUCUGGAGUCGGCGGGUGACUGGGACCAAAUAAAAUCUAUAGUUUUACCCCAGAAUAUUAGAGGAUGUAUCCUUGUCGUUGCAAAAGAUGAGUCUAUUGCCAGAUAUUGUGCUGACAAGCAAGAUCGUGCAAUCAACAUUAAAGAUUUGGAAGCCGACAUGAUUCUUUGUCACUCGGUAAAGAGUUGUCAACACUAUGCAAUUGGAGGCAAAGAGGCUUCUUACAGGGGUCAACUUUUCUCCAACAGAACAGAAGAGGCUGGCAUAUGGAUGAAUAAAUUUGGCCAUGUUGUGCGUUCGGAUUGUCUGGUUUGGGACGUUAAAUCAGCUUUGGAAUGCCCUGGAUUGAUCUCUUUAUGGGGGGCUGCUGGUGCUGGGAAAAUUCCUCUCGUUAGAUGUAUUUACUACAUCCAAAUGCUGACUAUGAACCAUGGACCUGGUUACAUAAUCGGUGGUGAAAAUCGUGGAAGAAUUUUCCUGAAAUAUACAAAGUUCAGCUGGGUCAAUGUGUCAUAUCCCUUUCAUUUGAAGGAAUUCUCUUGGAGAUUACUUUUGGAUUUUCAUUCUGAUGAUCUUGACGCCAAGGAAAAGGCCGCAUUUGAAAGUGUCGCCACACAUUGUGCAUAUCACAGAGCUCAAGUGUUCAACAUUAAAGGUGCAGAAGCUGUAGAUGCACUCCGUCCAUUGAGAAAGGGUUGUGGAUACUCUGGAAAUGAACGCGAUGCAUCUUGCUUUUUUUCCAGUCGGAGGAAAGAGGCAGCUCACUGGAACAGCACAUUUGAACUUGUUGGCCGUCAAGAUAAAGCGGCUGGUGAGCUUAUGGAUCAUUUAUCGACUCAUGUUGGUUUGAUAUCUGUAUGGGGAAUUGCCGGUGUUGGGAAAUCAGUUAUUGUGAGAAGCGUCUACUAUAAAAUAUUGCUGGGUAUAGAACAAAUUGGUUUGGGUGGCGUGGGGCGUAGGGUUGAUAGUGAAAGCUUUACAUCUUUCAGCUGGGUUGACGUGCCAAAUCCAUUCAAUUUGACGGAAUUCUGUUGGCACUUACUUUUGGAUUUUCAUUCUGAUGACCUUAAAGCGAAGGAAACUGUGACAGUUGGCUUGAUUGAUGGCACUCUAGAUCCAAUUAUGCAAUGUCGCAAGUUUCUACGUAAGAAGUGCUUCGUUAUUAUUGAUGGUCUACUCUCUACACAUGUGUGGGACUUGAUAAGAGAUGCCCUGUUGCCUGCGACCAUUGAAGGCAUCAUUAUUGUCAUUGCGCAUGAAGAAAACAUCGCCACACAUUGUGUAGAACAUGCAUACCGGGUGGUUAACGCCAAGGGUCUAGAGCCUGGAGCAGCACUUUAUCUCUUUAGAAAGCCGUCGCGGACCUCGGCGCAGGUGGCAAGCAUCCCAAGCCUCCAUCUUCCCUGCCGGCGUCGCUCCACCCUGCCUUCUUCCGCCGCGGACGAGCUGCGGGACGAGGCGACGGCCAGAGCAACGGGCGGCGGCGGCCAGAGCAACGGGAGGAGGCGUCUGCCAGAGCAAUGGGAUGGAGAGGAGGUCGGAGCUGGAGCCGCGCCUUGCGGGCCUCCCAGGCAGGCGCGUCCCGGAGCAGUGGAGGCCACGGCGGCGGCCAGAUGUAGCCGGAUCCGGCGCGACGGCGGCAGCCGGGAGGGGAGGGGUGGCGGCCCGGUGAGGAGAGGGGAGGGGCAGCGGCGACGGGCGCAUCCCGGAGCAAUGGUGGCCACGGCGGCGGCGCAGGCACAUCCCGGAGCAACCACUCAUGUAGCAUCAUCUCCUCCUCUUCUCCCUCUUGCCACCUGCACCUAUCUCCCUGAUUUCCAUAUCCUCCAAGGACACCCUCACUACUACACCCAUUCCUCCAGCUGGAAAUGGGAAGGGUGUUCAAGUCCGGGGCAAGCCCCCCAAGCACCUUUUUUAGCACUGGUGCAAAAAAAGGCCCCAACCACACCCUCAAGACGUUGUUUUGCGCCGGAUUUGGGCAAAAAUAGCCCCGGCAACCUCAGGCAAAACCCAGCCCAUCGGGGUGCACUUGGGACCGCCGGCGUUAAUUUUUGCAUGGCAAAACCCCACCGGAAUCUCUCUCUCUCCGCCUCCUCCGCCCCACCUCUUCCACCCCGCCCCGCCUCCUCCACCCCUCUUCCGCCGUCCCCCGCUGGUUGGCCCUGUGCCGCUCCACAUCACCCCGAGCUUUGUGUCUCCCUCCUUGUAGCACCGCGCGGCCGCGCGCCAUGGCGCACUCCUACCUCUCCGCAGCUCGCAUGGCGGCGGCGCUGCGCCUCAUGUUCCAGGCCGACCACGCCGCGUUCGUGUUCCCCCGCUCGGCGCACGCAUCGUCGUCCCGUCCGCACGCACACCGGUUCAAUGCCGCUGGUCCCGUCUGAGCCGGUGGAGAUGGAAGCACCGACACCGGGAGCAGCGCCACCAAACUGUACUACGGGAACCUUCCUCCUCCGCCCCGCUCCUCUUCCUCGCCUUCCCGCCUCCUCCGCCCUGCCUCCUCCGCCGGCUCACGCACGCCCCCGCCCCAGCCGCCUCCCCUGCCGGCUUGCGCUCGACGCCUUGCACUCGCGCCCUCCUCUACUCCGCCAGUUCGUGCUCGCGCCCUCGCUGCCGCCGCCGCUGCGCGGGGACGGCGCGGGCACGGGGGCCACCGCCGCCGUGGCGUCCACCUUGGUUUCGGUGGCCGUCAGCGCCCCUUGUCAUGCACUGGCCAUAUAUGACACAUUGGUUCACCAGAAGCAGGCUGGAGAUUUGGAUGCCUACUCUCCCAUACAACCGUGCAUGUUGUCACUGGGGUGGAGUAGCCAGAGGUUCAAGGACGAGGCAUGGCAGGCGGCCGCAUCAGUUUUGAGGAUUGCCUCAUUAUCUCUCCGAUCUAAACCAAGCAUGAUUUUCCCACCACCUCAAGGGAUGCAUCUUUCUUGCACAAAAACUGUUUAA
rnacentral:rRNA from 1 species